CAACUAGCACAAUCUAAUAAUCACCACCACCACCACCACUAAACCCAGCUUUAUACGACCGUACCGCAAACCGACACUGGUGCGCGAGAUGAGUAUUCUAAGGCGCUUGAGAGAACUCAGGAGAAGGAACUCGGCAAAUUGACACCGUAACUUCGGAAGAAGGUGUGCCCUAUUAGUGUGUAGUGAACAACGAAGCAUGAAUGGGUUGCAAAAAAUCGGUGGCUGCGACUGUUUAUUAAAAACACAGCACUCUGCAAACACGAAAGUGGACGUAUAGGGUGUGACGCCUGCCCGGUGCUGGAAGAUUAAAUGAUGGGGUGCAAGCUCUUGAUUGAAGUCCCAGUAAACGGCGGCCGUAACAAUAACGGUCCUAAGGUAGCGAAAUUCCUUGUCGGGUAAGUUCCGACCUGCACGAAUGGCGUAACGAUGGCCACACUGUCUCCUCCUGAGACUCAGCGAAGUUGAAAUGUUUGUGAUGAUGCAAUCUCCCCGCGGAAAGACGGAAAGACCCCAUGAACCUUUACUGUAGCUUUGUAUUGGACUUUGAACAGAUCUGUGUAGGAUAGGUGGGAGGCUUUGAAGCAGGGUCGCUAGAUCUUGUGGAGCCAACGUUGAAAUACCACCCUGGUGUGUUUGAGGUUCUAACCUAGGUCCAUUAUCUGGAUCGGGGACAGUGCAUGGUAGGCAGUUUGACUGGGGCGGUCUCCUCCCAAAGCGUAACGGAGGAGUUCGAAGGUACGCUAGUUACGGUCGGACAUCGUGACGAUAGUGCAAUGGCAUAAGCGUGCUUAACUGCGAGACUGACAAGUCGAGCAGAUGCGAAAGCAGGACAUAGUGAUCCGGUGGUUCUGUAUGGAAGGGCCAUCGCUCAACGGAUAAAAGGUACUCUGGGGAUAACAGGCUGAUACCGCCCAAGAGUUCAUAUCGACGGCGGUGUUUGGCACCUCGAUGUCGGCUCAUCUCAUCCUGGGGCUGUAGCCGGUCCCAAGGGUAUGGCUGUUCGCCAUUUAAAGAGGUACGUGAGCUGGGUUUAAAACGUCGUGAGACAGUUUGGUCCCUAUCUUCCGUGGGCGCUGCAGAUUUGAGGAAGCCUGCUCCUAGUACGAGAGGACCGGAGUGGACACACCUCUGGUGUAUCGGUUGUCACGCCAGUGGCAUUGCCGAGUAGCUAAGUGUGGAAGAGAUAACCGCUGAAAGCAUCUAAGCGGGAAACUCGUUUCAAGAUGAGAUCUGCCGGGGCCUUGAGCCCCCUAAAGAGUCGUUCAAGACCAGGACGUUGAUAGGUCAGGUGUGGAAGUGAAAAG
rnacentral:rRNA from 1 species